ensembl:lncRNA
GGCCUCCGCUUUUCAGAUGCGGUGAUUUCUCGGCACCUACGCGCUAAAGGGGAGGGGGCGCCUCGGCUGGGUUUAAUCUCCUGCAUCCAAAGAUAGUCGCUAGGCGGAGGGGCCUGCCUGCGCCGAACGCCCGCGGUGUUCCGCGAGGCAGACCCCAUCCCGCUCGCCGGGAAGGCGUUUGAAGGGCAAAAAGGCAGCUCCAUCUGCGGGGUUGCCGCAGCAUUCCGCCGCCGAGCUCCUUCGCUCGCGUCCCCGCGGCGUUGCCCUGCGCGUGCUAUAGCAGCCACCCUCCGCAGGGCGGGCACCCGGAGCUGGGGCUGCACGAUGGGGAAGGCACGGUGAAAGACAAGGCCGUGUUAUUGCUGGGAAGCAGCAGGUAUUCCAGCACGGUGCCACAGCUCUGCGAUACGGGCGAAGCGUUGGCUCUAUAGAGGCACCUGCUGGCUGAGAGGAACACACGGAGCAAACAACAACAACAACAAAAUAAUAAUAAGUCUUUGAUUUCGGCCGAUCUUAGACCCGUUCUGCACUUUGUUCACGUUUAAACAUGAAUAAAGUGUUCCCCUCGGAACGGGACAGGGGGAUGCGCCUAUCCCGUGGAAGGCCGGGAGUGUCUCUGAAGAAACAAAUAUCCGUCCAAAACAACUGGAGUUUCCCGUAUUCAGGCCGCGAUUGCCAAGAAACAUCCUCCAAGAGACAGGGAGGCCGCAUGCAUCCCCCAGAGGAGCAGAGGGGAUGUUGAGCUGCUGAAGGUGAGCAAUUUAUGAAUGAAUGCAGCUCUGCUGCAAACAAGCUGCAGUUUCCCCCCUCCCUCCGGAUGGAUGAAAUCCCCAAAGCUACUGCGCUUCGGAAAGUCCCACACAGAAACCCAGCAGAAAAGAUUAAAUCCAGCAGUGCAGAGGGAGAGCCUUACCCCCUUAAAGCUACAAUGUACUGUAAAUAAUGUACAGAACCCAGCUUCUAAAAUUACCACUACGGGAUUGCUCACGGCAUCUUAGGUUUCGUCUGGAUCCUGUGAUCUUCCCACCUGCCAACAUCCUGUUACCAGGAGAGCGGUGCGUGUGAAGGUUGUGCAAAUGGUCAUGCACUUGCACGAAUCCUGGCACGAGCGUGGGCACUCAUGUGCCUCCCGUGUUAGAGUUACACCGUAAUAAAUACGGGGACAGGAGAUGCUGACAUUGCCACAGGAUCCGCAGCGCUCACCAAAAAAAGCAAACGCGUGCCUGUGCCGCGCCGCAUCGGGAGCCGUGGGAUCCUCCUCACGUCAGCGGCUCCUGGGAUGGAAAGGAAGACGGAAUCGAGGGGCAGGAGUUUAAAUAUGGAACACUGAAAAGCAGGAGCUCCACGUUGAGGCACAUCAGAGAGGCUGAGUGGCGGCACGCUGGGAGCUGUGAGACGUGGAGAGCUUUGCAGGACCUGACCGUCACUGGGACUCCAUCUUGCAGACUGGAUUCAGGGGAAGCGUCGGCAUGGACUUCAAAGGGCACAGGAUCAAGCCCGCAUUGAGGGGCUCAAAAUACAAAUGUAGGAGCCUCAGUUUAGGCGUCCAUUUCUUAAUACCUCGUCCCACGCCAGUAAUACCCUCUGUCCCAUUCCUCUGACCUGAAAAGAGAGGAAUGCAGGUAACCUCACCAGCUCUCCUCACAGAACCUGUGGCCAAGAAGGGGGAAAUCCAAGAAACACAUUCCCCGCGCUUUGUUUGUUUUCCUCCCCUCUCUCAGGUCCCCAGAAUAACAGCCGGAGCGCUGCUCGUGGGGGAGCUCAGCCCCACUUUGAAAUUGGAACAGGAAAUGUGAGAAAUGUGGACGUUAAAAAGCAAAUGAAACAAAACAAUAUUUUCUUAGAACUCCAUCUCAUGGGCAAGUCUGGGGGGAAUCUGGAUUUGGAUAAUCUAAAUUAGGAGAGAAGUCAGGGAAACAAAGAGUAAUUUUAAACAGUGGAGUGCCAGGGCUAUUUCUUAACACGCUGCUCGCUCUGAUUUCAAAUACGGUCCCUCGGCGCUCAGCCCAGGAACAGUGUGAGGAAGUGGAAAGAAGGCCGGAAUGGAGCGGGCUGCUGGGAGAGGCAGCAAGGUGAGCAGAGCCCAGUGCUUCUGGGGGUAUUUUGGGUGCUUCCUUCCCCACAAGAAGCCACGACGACGGGAGAGUGACCACCAGGCUAUGGCCACGUCGGCGGCAGCACUAUCACAAGGCAGUGAAUCAACAAACUGCACGAUCCCCGUUACUGGGAUUAUUUUUGCUUUGGUUGCACUGACAGGGAAGGGAGCAGCUGCAGGUAUAACAAAAGGUUGCUCUGCUGAGACGCUUUGCCAACGCUCCCUCUGCUGUGGUUUAAAUAGAAUACAUGCAGCGGGCAUGGGCAGCGUGAGGCUCAUAUUUGCGAGCAUUAGAGAUGCCCAUGCACCACCCACUGGCAGUUUCACUCGCCUCUGUCUCUCAGAGUUUGUCCAGAGAUCCUCAGCUCCUGGAGAGCAAGACAGAAAAACGUUCAAGGGGCAGCAGCAUCCCUUGGUUUGUCCUCAUGAGUUGAUUUUGUAGCCUGGGUGCUUCUCCCAUAGUCCGUAAUUGUGUCAGGUUGAGAGGAGUCGCUCCCCUUGUUUCACUGUCCAUCUUCCUGUCUCUCACUGGAUCCUCUGUGAUCCUUUUGCAGCAAGCAGCUGAGGCUGUGAGAAAUGGAGGUAACAGGACAGGUCAUCAGCUAUCAGCAGCAUUGCUUGAACAUCUACAGAGACAUCAAGAUGCCGAAGGAGCUUUUUUCCUGCCUGGAGUGCACAUAAUGUCACCCUAAGGGACCUAAUGUCGCCCCAGCCUAUACAUCUACAUCUAACAGAGCUGGUAGGAAUACACACACACAACUGUUGCAUUAGUACUUCACCUUACACUUACAUCACAGUCCCAUAAGAAAUCUGAUGGGGCGGCCUUACCUAUUAAAUCAUUUCCUGGAGGGAAGGUUUCACUUGGGCUCAUUUGUUAUCAUUUGUCCCAGAGUUCAUAUUCUAC